CAGUAGCCACGGGAAUACAGAGGGUGCAAGCGUUAAUCGGAAUUACUGGGCGUAAAGCGCGCGUAGGUGGUUUGUUAAGUUGGAUGUGAAAGCCCCGGGCUCAACCUGGGAACUGCAUCCAAAACUGGCAAGCUAGAGUACGGUAGAGGGUGGUGGAAUUUCCUGUGUAGCGGUGAAAUGCGUAGAUAUAGGAAGGAACACCAGUGGCGAAGGCGACCACCUGGACUGAUACUGACACUGAGGUGCGAAAGCGUGGGGAGCAAACAGGAUUAGAUACCCGCGUAGUCCCUGUCUCUUAUAC
rnacentral:rRNA from 1 species